UACAGAGGUCUCAAGCGUUGUUCGGAUUCAUUGGGCGUAAAGGGUGCGUAGGCGGAUCUUUAAGUCGGGGGUGAAAGCCUGAGGCUCAACCUCAGAAUUGCCUUCGAUACUGGAGAUCUUGAGACCGGAAGAGGUGAGUGGAACUGCGAGUGUAGAGGUGAAAUUCGUAGAUAUUCGCAAGAACACCAGUGGCGAAGGCGGCUCACUGGUCCGGUUCUGACGCUCAUGUGCGAAAGCGUGGGGAGCAAACAGG
rnacentral:rRNA from 1 species